UCCUGUGUGGCAUAGUAGUUUGAGUGUUGGACUCAGACUCUGAAGAAUAGGGUUCGAAUCCUGGCUCAGCUA